AAUGAACGUUGGCGGCGUGGAUUAGGCAUGCAAGUCGAACGGGCCGCAAGGCCAGUGGCGGAAGGGUGAGUAAUGCGACGGUAACCAACCCCGGAAAUGGGUAUAGCCGCGGGAAACUGCGGGUAAUCCCCAGCGACGUGUCGGGUCGGCAUCGACCUGACACCAAAGCUCCGGCGUUCCGGGACGGGCCGUUGUGGUAUUAGCUAGUUGGCGGGGUAACGGCCCACCAAGGCUGCGAGGCCUACCGGGCGUGCGAGCGUGGCCCGGCACACUGGGACUGAGACACUGGCCAGACGCCUACGGGAGGCUGCAGUCGAGAAUCUUCGGCAAUGGGCGCAAGCCUGACCGAGCGACGCCGCGUGGAGGACGAAGGCCUUCGGGUUGUAAACUCCUGUCGAGGGGGAGGAAGGCGCAAGCUUGACCGAUCCCUGGAGGAAGCACGGGCUAAGUUCGUGCCAGCCGCCGCAGUAAGAC
rnacentral:rRNA from 1 species